UGGCUCUCGCAUCGAUGAAGAACGCAGCGAAAUGCGAUAAGUAAUGUGAAUUGCAGAAUUCAGUGAAUCAUCGAAUCUUUGAACGCACCUUGCGCCUCUUGGUAUUCCGAGAGGCAUGCCUGUUUGAGUGCCAUGAAACCUCAAUCCCCGUGGGUUUUUCCUAACCCGCGGUGGACUUGGACUUGGGCGUCUGCCUCCCCAGGCUCGCCUCAAAUGACUCAGUGGGAUCCUUGUGACCUAUGCCUGACGUAAUAAGUUUCGUCUCGGCCGGACACCUGGGCCUGCUCACAACACCCCAUAUCAUUUUUGACAUUGACCUCAAAUCAGGUAGGGCUACCCGCUGA
rnacentral:misc_RNA from 1 species